rnacentral:rRNA from 1 species
GACGAACGCUGGCGGCGUGCCUAAUACAUGCAAGUCGAACGCACAGUUUAUACCGUAGCUUGCUACACCAUAGACUGUGAGUUGCGAACGGGUGAGUAACGCGUAGGUAACCUGCCUGGUAGCGGGGGAUAACUAUUGGAAACGAUAGCUAAUACCGCAUAAUAUUAAUUAUUGCAUGAUAAUUAAUUGAAAGGUGCAAUUGCACCACUACCAGAUGGACCUGCGUUGUAUUAGCUAGUAGGUGAGGUAACGGCUCACCUAGGCGACGAUACAUAGCCGACCUGAGAGGGUGAGCGGCCACACUGGGACUGAGACACGGCCCAGACUCCUACGGGAGGCAGCAGUAGGGAAUCUUCGGCAAUGGACGAAAGUCUGACCGAGCAACGCCGCGUGAGUGAAGAAGGUUUUCGGAUCGUAAAGCUCUGUUGUAAGAGAAGAACGGGUGUGAGAGUGGAAAGUUCACACUGUGACGGUAUCUUACCAGAAAGGGACGGCUAACUACGUG